rnacentral:misc_RNA from 1 species
AAAUUAAAAAUCCAUGUAAAAGAAUUAUCGCAUAUCCUGGUUCUCCAUCGUUUCCCCCGUAACGAGCGAUUCGACCGAGUUCCCCGUCCAGUUUCCGAGGAUUCUCGUAAGACGAGAGACGAGACGAAGGCUGGGACGACAAAGAGGAUGAUUAACCUGAAAGCGGAGGUCAAAAAAGGGCAUCGAGGAUGCACCACGGCGCUGUGGGCCGUGGUCGCUCGCAUAAUGGCGAAUAUCGCGAAGGCGAAGGAGCAACGGCCAUCUUUGUUGGCCGCGGCGUGCAGUUGGAAGGCUGCUGCUGCUGCAGCAAGCAACAGCAGCAGCUUCGUCGUAGACCGGUGGUGGNUGGUCGGUGGUGAACACGUGAAAUGGUCUGGCUUGCGUGGCAUCAAAGGACGAGUGGGAGCAGGACGUCGACAUAGGUGUGAAUGUAGUCAAAUCACAUCAGCCUCACUUCGGCCGACACUCGAACCGAGGAAGAAAAGAUUUCGAAUAGACAACACGGACCAUAUAAUAGACGUGAACAAGAACAACGCGGCGUUCGAGUACGAUCAAGUGAACAUAAUAUGUCCUGUGUACCAGCCAGGAACGUAUGACGAGGACGCGGAGAAGUAUAUUAUUUACAAUGUGUCCAAAGAGGAGUACGAAACAUGUCGGAUAACAAAUCCGAAUCCGCGAGUGAUAGCGGUCUGUAACAACCCGUAUAAGACUAUGUACUUCACGAUCACCUUCAGGCCGUUCACACCGCAACCCGAAGGCCUGGAGUUCCUGCCAGGCCACGAUUACUAUUUCAUCAGCACUUCGUCCAAGGACGAUCUCCACAAACGCAUCGGUGGACGAUGCACCAGUAACAACAUGAAGGUGGUCUUCAAAGUGUGCUGCCGCAACGAAGCUGACACCUCGUCGUCAUCAGCGACAUCGCGCAACAAUUCCGUGGCCGUAACCAGCAGCACUGUACCAAGCAGCAGCUCGACCAGCACCGCUGUUUUGGGUGGAGGAGCCGCUGGAAUACCACCCCCGCCACCACCGAGCGUCCUCAAGGGCGGAGAUCGAUUCUACCCAGGGGGCAGCAUUCAUCAUCAUCACGAUCAUCAUCAACCGGCCACGGCGGCGCCGACCCUGCCCCACGUGCCCCCUCCGGCCAUCUACCCCGUGCAUCCGCAUCAGCCUCCGAUUCACAAUGGACCUCCGUCCUCCUCGCCGCCCAAGACCUCGAUCGGCCAGAAGAAGAAGAACAAGGAAUAUUCAGACCACCCGAACGAAGUAGUGAAGAACGAAGAAUUGACUUAUAAUGGAUCGAGUUCCAGCCGUGUUCAAGAUUGGUACAGCCAAUUGUUGGUAGUGCUGAUGGGAAGCUUGUUGAUCAGCGCGAUUCUGCCGCAAUUAUUGCGGUGAAGUGACAACAUUACUGACGAGAACGUAUAUUUCAUACGUCGAAACCCCUUUUUCUGUGAUUAUCCUACGUUUAAUUAAUUUCUUGAGGCACGCGUGUGCACGUGCACUCGCGCGGCCGUCCCUCGAUCGUGAAAAAUAAAACGUGCACGAUUUAUGGUCGGACUGCCUCGAGAGAAAAAGAGAACGAGAAAAUUUAAUCGGGAUGGAAGAAAGACAAAAACGAAUAACUUUAAAAAAAAAAACGAAAAUUUAAUGAAAAUAAAAGAGAAUACGAAUUUAAGAAGAACGAAGAGUUGGUAAAAAAUAAAUAAACGUUAAAUGUCAAGAGAAGAGACACGCACGACACACGAGCAGCAACGCCAUAUUGAAACUAUUCGAAACGAAGAAAGAAGAUGUAGCUAAGAUUGCAAAGACGAAGAAAGACGAAAUGAGAAGAAACGCUACUACUAGACAUUAUUAUAGUAUGCCCACUAUUAUCACUACUAUAAAUGGUAGUCGUAUUGGUUGUCCUUCUUAUCAUUACGCUAAUUCUAGGUAUUUAUUGGAAAUACGAAGAAAAAGAACAAAGUGAACAGCGUGCUAACUAUCCUCAAACGAGAUGCAAUAUAUCUAUAGUAAUAAUGAUAAAUAUAUAUAUAUAUAUAUAUAUGGUUCGUUAACCUUUUCACACGAAGUAGUUAACACACGAUUGUACAAAAUGUUUCUCAUAUACAAGUUCGCUUUGCGGGUCUCAGAGGAUAUUACACAUACAGUACAUACAUUUGUAAAGGGAUGCAAAUAAUAGAGUGCAUUUAUGUUUUUAAUCGUUAUAAUCGACGAUCCAUGUAAUAAUUAUACAUCUCAAAUCGUGGAUGUAUCGAUUGAACUGCUCUGGACGGCAAAAAUUAUCGAUCGACUCGAUAGCGAAUUAAUCAGAACCAGCGUGAAAACCCGUAAUCAAUUAAACAUAAAUGCAAUAGCAAUGCAGCAAAGUUACAUAGAUCCAAUGUGAAUGGUACUCAUUCUUACGGACGAUAGGUGAAUAUAAACAAUAAUAUAGACUCGAACUAUCGAUAGAAAAUAGACAAGAUCACUCACUGCAA